rnacentral:rRNA from 1 species
AUUGAACGCUGGCGGCGGGCCUAACACAUGCAAGUCGAACGAGGGGAGGACGGGAGAGAAAUGUGUGGGAAACUGCCUGCUGGAGGGGGAUAACUACUGGAAACGGUAUCAAAUACCGCAAACUAUCAGAGGUGCCGCGAGGGGAUUAGCUUGUUGGUGGGGUAAGGGCGCACCAAGGAGCCGAUCCCUAGCUGGUCUGAGAGGAUGACAAGCCAAACGGGGACUGAGAUACGGCCCAGACGCCGACGGGAGGCAGCAGUGGGGAAGAUUGCACAAUGGGCGCAAGCCUGAUGCAGCCAUGCCGCGUGUAUGAAGAAGGCCUUCGGGUUGUAAAGUACUGUCAGCGGGGAGGCGUUACCCGCAGAAGAAGCACCGGCUAACUCCGUGCCAGCAGCCGCGGUAAUUC